rnacentral:tRNA from 1 species
UUUGCUUUUGGUUCAGUGGUAGAAUGCUCGCCUGCCACGCGGGCGCCCCGGGUUCGAUUCCCGUGACAAAA